rnacentral:rRNA from 1 species
AUACGUAGGGGGCGAGCGUUGUCCGGAAUGAUUGGGCGUAAAGGGCGCGUAGGCGGCCCGGUAAGUCUGGAGUGAAAGUCCUGUUUUUAAGAUGGGAAUUGCUUUGGAUACUGUCGGGCUUGAGUGCAGGAGAGGUAAGUGGAAUUCCCAGUGUAGCGGUGAAAUGCGUAGAGAUUGGGAGGAACACCAGUGGCGAAGGCGACUUACUGGACUGUAACUGACGCUGAGGCGCGAAAGUGUGGGGAGCAAACAGGAUUAGAUACCCUGGUAGUCCACACUGUAAACGAUGAAUGCUAGGUGUAGGGGGUAUCGACCCUUCUGUGCCGCAGUUAACACAAUAAGCAUUCCGCCUGGGGAGUACGGCCGCAAGGUUGAAACUCAAAUGAAUUGACGGGG